UGGGCUUCCGAGCUCCUCCAACCCCUGUGACAUACCUAUACGUUGCCUCGGCGGAUCAGCCCGCGCCCCGUAAAACGGGACGGCCCGCCGCAGGAUCCACAAACCCUGAAUUUUUAUUGUAACUUCUGAGUCUAAAAAACAAAUAAAUCAAAACUUUCAACAACGGAUCUCUUGGUUCUGGCAUCGAUGAAGAACGCACCAAAAUGCGAUAAGUAAUGUGAAUUGCAGAAUUCAGUGAAUCAUCGAAUCUUUGAACGCACAUUGCGCCCGCCAGUAUUCUGGCGGGCAUGCCUGUUCGAGCGUCAUUUCAACCCUCAAGCCCCCGGGUUUGGUGUUGGGGAUCGGGAACUGCGGCUCUGCCGCGUCCCGGCCCCGAAAUCUAGUGGCGGUCUCGCUGCAGCCUCCAUUGCGUAGUAGCUAACACCUCGCAACUGGAACGCGGCGCGGCCAAGCCGUUAAACCCCCAACUUCUGAAUGUUGACCUCGGAUCAGGUAGGAAUACCCGCUGAACUUAAGCAUAUCAAUAAGCGGAGGAA
rnacentral:rRNA from 1 species